CGGGUUGUGGCGCAGCUUGGUAGCGCGCCUCGUUCGGGACGAGGAGGUCGUCGGUUCAAAUCCGGCCAGCCCGACCA
rnacentral:tRNA from 1 species